UACGUAGGGUGCGAGCGUUGUCCGGAAUUACUGGGGCGUAAAGAGCUCGUAGGCGGCUCGUUGCGUCGGCUGUGAAAACCCGCAGCUCAACUGUGGGCUUGCAGCCGAUACGGGCAGGCUAGAGUUCGGUAGGGGAGACUGGAAUUCCUGGUGUAGCGGUGAAAUGCGCAGAUAUCAGGAGGAACACCGGUGGCGAAGGCGGGUCUCUGGGCCGAUACUGA
rnacentral:rRNA from 1 species